rnacentral:rRNA from 1 species
UACGUUGGUCCCGAGCGUUGUCCGGAUUUAUUGGGCGUAAAGCGAGCGCAGGUGGUUUAUUAAGUCUGGUGUAAAAGGCAGUGGCUCAACCAUUGUAUGCAUUGGAAACUGGUAGACUUGAGUGCAGGAGAGGAGAGUGGAAUUCCAUGUGUAGCGGUGAAAUGCGUAGAUAUAUGGAGGAACACCGGUGGCGAAAGCGGCUCCCUGGCCUGUAACUGACACUGAGGCUCGAAAGCGUGGGGAGCAAACAGG